rnacentral:rRNA from 1 species
GGGAGGCUUCCGGAUUAUUGGGCGUAAGAGCUCGUAGGCGGUUUGUCGCGUCUGCCGUGAAAGUCCGGGGCUCAACUCCGGAUCUGCGGUGGGUACGGGCAGACUAGAGUGAUGUAGGGGAGACUGGAAUUCCUGGUGUAGCGGUGAAAUGCGCAGAUAUCAGGAGGAACACCGAUGGCGAAGGCAGGUCUCUGGGCAUUAACUGACGCUGAGGAGCGAAAGCAUGGGGAGCGAACAGGAUUAGAUACCCUGGUAGUCCAUGCCGUAAACGUUGGGCACUAGGUGUGGGGGACAUUCCACGUUCUCCGCGCCGUAGCUAACGCAUUAAGUGCCCCGCCUGGGGAGUACGGCCGCAAGGCUAAAACUCAAAGGAAUUGACGGGGGCCCGCACAAGCGGCGGAGCAUGCGGAUUAAUUCGAUGCAACGCGAAGAACCUUACCAAGGCUUGACAUGAACCGGUAAGACCUGGAAACAGGUCCCCCACUUGUGGCCGGUUUACAGGUGGUGCAUGGUUGUCGUCAGCUCGUGUCGUGAGAUGUUGGGUUAAGUCCCGCAACGAGCGCAACCCUCGUUCUAUGUUGCCAGCACGUGAUGGUGGGGACUCAUAGGAGACUGCCGGGGUCAACUCGGAGGAAGGUGGGGACGACGUCAAAUCAUCAUGCCCCUUAUGUCUUGGGCUUCACGCAUGCUACAAUGGCCGGUACAAAGGGUUGCGAUACUGUGAGGUGGAGCUAAUCCCAAAAAGCCGGUCUCAGUUCGGAUUGGGGUCUGCAACUCGACCCCAUGAAGUCGGAGUCGCUAGUAAUCGCAGAUCAGCAACGCUGCGGUGAAUACGUUCCCGGGCCUUGUACACACCGCCCGUCAAGUCACGAAAGUUGGUAACACCCGAAGCCGGUGGCCUAACCCCUUGUGGGAGGGAGCUGUCGAAGGUGGGACUGGCGAUUGGGACUAAGUCGUAACAAGGUAACC